rnacentral:rRNA from 1 species
UACGUAGGGUGCAAGCGUUACUCGGAAUUACUGGGCGUAAAGCGUGCGCAGGCGGUUCUAUUAGACAGAUGUGAAAUCCCCGGGCUCAACCUGGGAACUGCAUUUGUGACUGUAGAGCUGGAGUGCGGCAGAGGGGGAUGGAAUUCCGCGUGUAGCAGUGAAAUGCGUAGAUAUGCUGAGGAACACCGAUGGCGAAGGCAAUCCCCUGGGCCUGCACUGACGCUCAUGCACGAAAGCGUGGGGAGCAAACAGG